AUUGCCGCCUACACAUUCCUUUCUUUUCCGUUGCUUGUGUAAACUGAGUGUCACCAGAGCCAAAACAACGGCACUUUGAGUGAAAACGGCGGUGCGAACAGGGACGUCAGCCAUACUUGGUGUUGUGAGAACGUGUCGGCCAAGACCACGUAACGCUGAGAGAGUGCGGGGCAAGUGUGACAGGAAGACGACGGUAGCAUGUCCACAAUUUUAUGACUGAAGAUCCAUGGAAAUUUGCCGUGUAAUAGCCCCUUUAAACAUGUCGGCACCUCAGCUCGCCUGUUUGAAAAGCCUCUCGUAGUAGUGCUGGGAUUUUCAAGGCCUGUUUUGUGAUGCAAGUGAUAGUUUUACCCGACUUCAGCAUCUUGAGCGGAAGGUAAAAGGAAGGUAAAAAUCAUCUAGUGGACAGAAAUGGAGAAAACAGAGCAUUGAGUAAGCGAUGGGAGACUCAAACAAACAAACAAACGAACAAAAAAUGGGAAACGUGAGUACCAAUGAGAGAGAGAGAGAGAGAGAGAGAGAGAGAGAGAGAGAGUUAGAUAGAGAGAGAGAGAGAGAGAGAGAGAGAGAGAGAGAGAGAGAGAGAGAGAGAGAGAGAGAGAGAGAGAGAGAUACGAUCACUACAUAGAUAAAAGACGGAACUCUCCUAUUGGUUCUGAGUGAUAGAGGGAACUCGGUGAUUGGUCAGGACGGGGAGUGGGCGGGGCGUAGGAGGAGGUGGGCGGGUGGCUAGCGGCUCCCUGAUUGGCUGGUCUCCUAGGGGCACUUACACGUGAUUGGUGGACGAUGAUGCAAUGUGAAGUGGUUGUUUGCGUCCUAUCUGGCCCCCUGGUGACGAAAAGAGGAAGGAGUAAGGUGGAAAAGGAAGGAAACAGGAAAAAAAACAAGAUAACUGGAAAGGAAAAGAAAAUAAUAGAGGGAAAAGAAAAUAUAAGAAGAGGGAAGAAAGAAAAUAUAGAGGAAGAUAAGAAGGAACGAUCGAAAAAGGUGGAAAACGAAGGAAAAAUGAAAAGAAAGUAAAAUAAGUGAAAAAGUAAAUAAGAAAAAGGUGCAGAAAGUUAAAGGAAAAUAGAGAAUACAUAGAAAGAAAAGGAAUUAGAAAAUAAAAAAGAAAAUAAAGAAGACAAAGAAAAGGAAUGAGAAAAGAAAAAGGAAAAUAAAGAAGACAAAGAAAAGGAAUUAGAAAAAGAAAAAGGAAAAUAAAGAAGACAAAGAAAAGGAAUUAGAAAAAGAAAAAGGAAAAUAAAGUAGACAUAGAAAGAAAAUGAAAAAUGAAAAGAGGGAGUAAUAAAAAAAGCUGAAGAAAAAAAUGAAUUCCAAAAAAAAAAAAAAAAAAAAAACCGAGAGAAAAUACGAGAAAAUAUUUUGUGGUGUGGGUUGUUCAUUUUUCAUAUUUGCUUUUUUUUUUUUUUUUAAGCGUACGAGAAUAUGAGAACACACACACACACACACACACACACACACACGGAUUGUCCCUCGCAGUAUAUAAGGGAAGACAAACAUUUUUCUUCAUUUAUUUCCACGAGCGAACGGAGAGCGCAAACAUGAUUAUAGAAAGAUAGCCUAUUAACUGUUCUCUCUCUCUCUCUCUCUCUCUCUCUCUCUCUCUCUCUCUCUCUCUCUCUCUCUCUCUCUCUCUCUAUUCCUCUUUCUAUUUCCUUUCCUUCCUUUUCUCCCUUCCUUCUCUCCUUCCUUUCAAUCACUUCAAACUUUCCUCACACCCUCCCUGUCUCUUCCUCCCUUUCCUCCCUCUCUCCUCCCUACCUCCCUUACGUCCUCCCCCUCCUUUUUUACCCUCCCUGUUUCAUUCCAUCCCUGUCCACCUCUCCCUCAUCUCUCUCCCUUUCUCCCUUCCACUCAGUCAUCCAUCUCUCCUCUUUCCCUCCUUGCCACCCUACCAUAUCUCCCUUUCUCUCUCCCUUUCCCUCCCUCUCUACUCCCUACCAUCACUGUCCCUCCCUACCUCUCCUCCAUCUGUCUCCUCUCUCCCUCUCCCUUCCUCUCCCUUUCUCUCUCCUCCCUACCAUCACUGUCCCUCCUACCUCUCUUCCAUUUGUCUCCCCUCUCCCUCUGCUUUCCUCUCCCUUUCCCUCCCUCACCCUAUCCUCUCCCUCUCUCCCUUCCUCUCUCUCCCUUCUGUCUCCUUUCUCCAUCUCCUCCCUACCAUCACUGUCCCUCCCUACCUCUCCUCCAUCUGUCUCCUCUCUCCCUCUCCCUUUCCAUCCCUUACCCUAUACUCUCCCUCUCCCUCCCUCCCUCCCUCCCGUCGCGGUGGUGGAAACGGUUGGUCCAAAUUUGACACUAACACGAUUUUCCAACCAUCGAGAGAGAGAGAGCGAGCAUAUGAAAGGUAAACACCCGCCCAGUAUUGCCGCGACACGAUGAUUGGUGGCGGGGGAGGGGGAGGAGGAGGAGGAGGGGGGGGCGAUAGCUGGAGGGAACAUGUUAGGUUUGGUGGUGUAGGGCUGGAGGGGAAGGAAGGGGAUGGUGAGGAGGAGGAGGAGGAGGAGAGGAGGAAGAGGAAGAGGAGGAGGAGGGAAGGGAUAGGAGGAGGGAUGUUAGGUUUGUUGGUGUGGUUCUAAGAGGAGGAAGAGGAAGAGGAGGAGAGGAGGAGAGGGAGGAAGAAGAAGUAGAAGAGAAAGAGGAGGAGUAGGAGGAGGAGGAGAGGAGAAAAGGCGGAGGAGAAUGUGUAAAAAAAUAAGACAAGGAGGAAGAAGAAAAUAAAGAAGAAGGAAGGAUAGAAAGAAGGACGAGGAGAAUGAGGAGGAGAGAAGAGGAGAGGAGAAAAAGAGGAGGAGGAAAGGGGGACGGAAGAAGAAGGAGGAGGAGGAGGAGGAGGAGGAGGAGGGGAAGGGAUAUUAGGAGCAGGGAUGUUAGACGUUUGGUAUCGUGGUGCUGAGGGGUAGAAAGAAGAAGAGGAGGAAGAGGAGGAGGAGGAGGGAUGUCAGGUGGUGAUGGUGGUGGUUAUGUACUGCGUUUAAAAAGGGAGGAAGAACAAAAAAAGAAAACGGGGAAAAAUAUUGAGAGGGGUCCUGGUUUGUUUUUUAGGGGGACAGGACCAGAUGAAGGUAAAUAAAAGGAAAAAGGAGGAAAACGAGAGGAAAAAACGUUGAAAAGAGGAAAAAGUGAACGUGUUGUUUUAGUGAGACAGAAAAUGAGGAAUAUAUAUGUUUUUAAAGAGGAGACAUGGCCGAUUGAGAAUUAAAAAAGAUAAAAAAACAACGAGCAGAAUGGAAAAGGGAAAUGACAAGACUACAUGAGAAUAAAAAAAAAAAAAGAAUGGGAAAAGAGAAAAAAACAGAAGAGAAGGAGAGAAAAGAGAGAAAAAAGAUGAAUAGAGAAAUAUGGUUGAUUAGGAAGAGGAAAAGGAAAAAUAGGAAGAGGAGGAGGAGGAGGAGGAGGAGGAAUAGCAGAAGUUCGGAGGUAAAAAAAAAUAUGAAGAAAUGGAGGAUUGGGUUGAGGAGGGAAAGGAAAGGAAUGUGAAUAGGAGGAGGAGGAGGAGGAGGAGGAGGAGAAAUUGAACCAGAAAAGACUAUUAUUUAAUGUGGAAAAGGAGAUGAGAAGAGGGUUAUAAAAAUGAGGAGGAGGAGGAGGAGGAGGAGUAAUAUAAGUGAGAGGAGGGAGAGUACUUUUGGGGAAGAGAUCAGUGAAGGUAAGAGGGAGAUUGAGAGGAGGAGGAGGAGGAGAAGGAGAAGGAGGAGAGAGGUCAGUGGCACUUCUGUUUUAAGUGGCAAAAAAAAAAAAAAAAGAUAAUGGGAAGGAAAAGAAGAAAAAGAAGAAGAAGAAGAAGAAGAAAAGUUUUGACCAUCAGUGAAUAAUUGGCGAUGAAAAGGAAGAAAGGAAAAAAGAAAAGAGGUAAGAGAAAGAAAGAAAAAUGUCAUAAGAAGAUAGAGAUCAACAAAAGAGGAAGAAUAAAGGAGAGGAAGGAAAAAAAGAACAUUAAGGAAAAAAAAACAGAAGUGGAGAUAGACGAAAGAAAAGAAGAGAAAAAAAAAAGAACAGGACGUGACGAAUGAAGAAGAAGGAUGAGUAGGAAUAUUAGAGAUGAAGGAGGGAGUAAAGGAGGAGGAGGAGGAGGAGGAGGAGGAGGAUAAGUGGAGGGAGAGAUAUCGUAGGCAUGAUUUGGGGAGAGAUUAUUGAGUAGAGAGAAUCCCAUAGGAGAGAGAGAGAGAGAGAGAGAGAGAGAGAGAGAGAGAGAGAGAGAGAUGUGGAGAUACUCUUGGUGAACAGAAGUGACUUGACGUUGAAAGAAUCUACUGUGUUUCGUAAUUGGUGAUAGGCCUACUGAACUAACACAAGGGGGAGGGGAGGGGGGAGAGAUGGGGUGGAACAGACUCUCCAAUCUUUUUAGGGGCAGUUAGUAACGGGCUUUUUUUUUCAUUAUUAUUAUUUUUUUAUUUUUUAUUUUUUUUAGUCCUUUAUCUGUCUCCUUUGUUGUAAAAAAAAAGAGUAAGAUAUUCUGUUGACGUUUUUAAGAACAUGCAAUGGACGUGGGAAGGUCGUAUGUAAUGUAUAUAUUAUAAUGUACAUGUGAGUGUGUGACUGUGUGUGUCUAAGCAUACAUUCGUACAUAGAACUGAUGAUAGACAGAGGUAUAGUUUAUUUGGAAGAGGAAGAAGAAGAGGAGGGUAAAAAAAUCGGAAAUAUAAAAUGAAGUAUAGGGAGAAAUGAAUGAUUAGGUCGAGUAGGAUUUGGAAUGGGAAUAGGAAGGGAAUGACUAAUGUAAAAUGUUUCAGGUGCUUGGAGGAUUCUGAGCAUUCCUUCCUCUCUGCCUCAUUCGUUUCUUAUAAUAAUAAAAAAAUAAAGUCGGUACUACCACAUUUAUCUUCUAGGGAGAGGAAGAAGAGGAGGAGGAUAAGAAAUUUGGAAAUAUAAAAUAAAGUAUAGGGAGAAAUGAAUGAUUGGGUUGAGUAGGAUUAGGAAUGGGAAUAGGAAGGGAAGGAGUGAUAGACUAAUGACUAAUAGAAAAUGUCAGGUGAUUGGAGGAUUCUGAGCACUCCUUCCUCUUUACCUCAUUCGGUUCUUAUAAUAAUAAAAAAAUAAAGUUUGUAUUGCCACAUUUAUCAUCCAGAAACUGCCGCUCUAGCCAAAUGCCUUUCUUGGAAGCUGCCAUUACGAAAGCCUCUGUUGGAAGUUACCCUUAUAGCUAAAUGCCUCAUAUGGGGAAAGCUUAAUUCCCAAAGUCAUUUAUGGAGAUUAAGACAGCAAAAAGCGCUCUAGCCAAAUGCCUCUCUUGGAAGAUUCCCUUAUAGCUAAAUGCCUCAUAUGGGAAAAGCUUAAUUCCCAAAGUCAUUUAUGGAGAUUAAGACAGCAAAAAGCGCUCUAGCCAAAUGCCUUUCUUGGAAGCUGCCCUUAUAGCUAAA